GAAUGCUGACAUAAGUAACGAUAAAGCGGGUGAAAAGCCCGCUCGCCGGAAGACCAAGGGUUCCUGUCCAACGUUAAUCGGGGCAGGGUGAGUCGACCCCUAAGGCGAGGCCGAAAGGCGUAGUCGAUGGGAAACAGGUUAAUAUUCCUGUACUUGGUGUUACUGCGAAGGGGGGACGGAGAAGGCUAUGUUGGCCGGGCGACGGUUGUCCCGGUUUAAGCGUGUAGGCUGGUUUUCCAGGCAAAUCCGGAAAAUCAAGGCUGAGGCGUGAUGACGAGGCACUACGGUGCUGAAGCGACAAAUGCCCUGCUUCCAGGAAAAGCCUCUAAGCAUCAGGUAACAUCAAAUCGUACCCCAAACCGACACAGGUGGUCAGGUAGAGAAUACCAAGGCGCUUGAGAGAACUCGGGUGAAGGAACUAGGCAAAAUGGUGCCGUAACUUCGGGAGAAGGCACGCUGAUAUGUAGGUGAAGCGACUUGCUCGUGGAGCUGAAAUCAGUCGAAGAUACCAGCUGGCUGCAACUGUUUAUUAAAAACACAGCACUGUGCAAACACGAAAGUGGACGUAUACGGUGUGACGCCUGCCCGGUGCCGGAAGGUUAAUUGAUGGGGUUAGCGGUAACGCGAAGCUCUUGAUCGAAGCCCCGGUAAACGGCGGCCGUAACUAUAACGGUCCUAAGGUAGCGAAAUUCCUUGUCGGGUAAGUUCCGACCUGCACGAAUGGCGUAAUGAUGGCCAGGCUGUCUCCACCCGAGACUCAGUGAAAUUGAACUCGCUGUGAAGAUGCAGUGUACCCGCGGCAAGACGGAAAGACCCCGUGAACCUUUACUAUAGCUUGACACUGAACAUUGAGCCUUGAUGUGUAGGAUAGGUGGGAGGCUUUGAAGUGUGGACGCCAGUCUGCAUGGAGCCGACCUUGAAAUACCACCCUUUAAUGUUUGAUGUUCUAACGUGGGCCCCUUACCGGGGUUGCGGACAGUGUCUGGUGGGUAGUUUGACUGGGGCGGUCUCCUCCUAAAGAGUAACGGAGGAGCACGAAGGUUGGCUAAUCCUGGUCGGACAUCAGGAGGUUAGUGCAAUGGCAUAAGCCAGCUUGACUGCGAGCGUGACGGCGCGAGCAGGUGCGAAAGCAGGUCAUAGUGAUCCGGUGGUUCUGAAUGGAAGGGCCAUCGCUCAACGGAUAAAAGGUACUCCGGGGAUAACAGGCUGAUACCGCCCAAGAGUUCAUAUCGACGGCGGUGUUUGGCACCUCGAUGUCGGCUCAUCACAUCCUGGGGCUGAAGUAGGUCCCAAGGGUAUGGCUGUUCGCCAUUUAAAGUGGUACGCGAGCUGGGUUUAGAACGUCGUGAGACAGUUCGGUCCCUAUCUGCCGUGGGCGCUGGAGAACUGAGGGGGGCUGCUCCUAGUACGAGAGGACCGGAGUGGACGCAUCACUGGUGUU
rnacentral:rRNA from 1 species